UUUUGCAGUGGNUACGGGCUAACUAGAGUGCAGUAGGGGAGACUGGAAUUCNUGGUGUAGCGGUGGAAUGCGCAGAUAUCAGGAGGAACACCGAUGGCGAAGGCAGGUCUCUGGGCUGUAACUGACGCUGAGAAGCGAAAGCAUGGGGAGCGAACAGGAUUAGAUACCCUGGUAGUCCAUGCCGUAAACGUUGGGCACUAGGUGUGGGGGACAUUCCACGUUUUCCGCGCCGUAGCUAACGCAUUAAGUGCCCCGCCUGGGGAGUACGGCCGCAAGGCUAAAACUCAAAGAAAUUGACGGGGGCCCGCACAAGCGGCGGAGCAUGCGGAUUAAUUCGAUGCAACGCGAAGAACCUUACCAAGGCUUGACAUAUACUGGACUGCGUCAGAGAUGGCGUUUCCCUUCGGGGCUGGUAUACAGGUGGUGCAUGGUUGUCGUCAGCUCGUGUCGUGAGAUGUUGGGUUAAGUCCCGCAACGAGCGCAACCCUCGUUCUAUGUUGCCAGCACGUGAUGGUGGGGACUCAUAGGAGACUGCCGGGGUCAACUCGGAGGAAGGUGGGGAUGACGUCAAAUCAUCAUGCCCCUUAUGUCUUGGGCUUCACGCAUGCUACAAUGGCCGGUACAGAGGGUUGCGAUACUGUGAGGUGGAGCUAAUCCCUAAAAGCCGGUCUCAGUUCGGAUUGGGGUCUGCAACUCGACCCCAUGAAGUCGGAGUCGCUAGUAAUCGCAGAUCAGCAACGCUGCGGUGAAUACGUUCCCGGGCCAUGUACACACCGCCCGUCAAGUCACGAAAGUUGGUAACACCCGAAGCCGGUGG
rnacentral:rRNA from 1 species